CGGCGGCCCAGUUGCGCACCUGCAACAUGGCUGCUUUAGCUCGACUCUGGCUGAUUGACGCAAAGCGCGGUGCAUCGUGGGAAAUAUCUUCGAGGGGCUCAGAGUGAGGGGGUCGUUUACAUUGCGAGGAGGCCCAAUUUCCAGCAGUGGGCUCCUAGUAUCGCGCCGAGCGGCUCAUCAAGCGGGGCCUCAGCUUCCUGGAAGGUGAAGGGUAUAGAGAUCACUCCCAGGAAAAGCAGCCCCCCCAGAAGAUGACCCUUGCCCUGAGAUCUUCCCACAUGGCUCGAGGGCAGCACCAGAGGUGAAGGAACAGCCCCUGGCACUGCUGAUGGGGCAGUGACUCCGGGCAGAGAGGCCUUGGAGCGAGGGCUGAGCAGGGAGAGCCCAGCCAGGACCAGCAACCAUGGCGGAGUGGGCUCCAGGGCCAGAGGAGACAGGAACCCCACCCCUCUGAGGCUGCUGUUAUCAGUGAGUGAGAAGGGAGAGAAAGAAGCCACACUCCAGAGUCCAGCUGCAGCACUCGGAAUGCUUUUCUUGCCAAAUCCUUUACUGUCAAACACUGUUAACACUCAUUCACACCACGCACAGACACAAACACAAAAAAGAAAAUAGACAUACAACAACCCUCCA